GCACAUCCGGCACUCGAGGGUGAUAAACUUCAAAAAACCUUUCCUGAAAAACAAAUAACCGAUUCUUAUCAAAUUUAAUCGAUUCAUAUUCUGCUAUCAAAAUAUUCGAUUAAUCAGAUAUCGGUUAGAAAACAUCGAUUUUUUGUUCUUUGAUAUUACUACUGCUGCACACCGACAACGGUCGACGACGGUCGACGGCACCGCGGCUUUGUUGUUUGUUCGUCACAAGUUUGGUUAUAAGUUAUAACCUCGUGCUUUGUUGUUUACAGUAACCGUCAAGUGCCUGGUUUGCCCUUUUAAUAGUUGGAAGCUUAGAGCAUUCUGGAUUCCCAAAGCCUUUGUUCCAUCAAUAGAUUUUCACCAACAUCUUAGUACGGCUUACAAUCUUUCCACUUCCAAAAUACCAGAUCACGUUUACGCGAACCGUGGGCGUGCGCGAGCUGUAUGCAACAGGUCCUGUUGCUGUGGUAGUACAAUACCUUCUAGCCAAGUCGCAGGAUUCAGACUACCUAUAGCCACCAUAGCGAUCAACAUUUGGGAUGAACAAUAUGGAACGUUUAAAUUCAAA